GAGACAUCACCGAGAACCUUUCAAAUCUGCUGGCACCUUCAUCUCGGACUUCCCAGCCUCCAGAACUGUGAGAAAUAAAUGUCAUUGUUUAAGCCACCCUGUCUAUGGCAUUUUGUUAUGGCAGCCCAAGCAGAGUAGGACAAUCCCUAAAAUUAUAUAAGUGCAUAACUUUGAUGAAAAUGAAAACUAAAUUUUAAAAUGAACAUGCAUCAACAAUAAAUUAAAAGGAUGAUUUUAAUUUGGCUUCCCUUUGUUGUGUGCACACAUAGACACAUAGCACCAUUUGGGCAAUACAUUUUGCAAAGCAUCUAAAUGCAUGAAAACAUUUCAGGGAAGUGUUAAUGAUGGCCUGGGCCAAUCUGUCUUUUGUAAAUAGUUCUCAGGAAAGUAGACUAAUUAGAGCUAGGAUAGGCAAAUGACACAACAACCCGUCAAUCAACAGCACUUCCUGCUCAUCUAUUGAAUAUACAGCAGUAGAUGUUGCACAUUCUGUGGGGUAAACAACCAAGUGUAAGAUACAGUUUCUGGCAUUGAUGAUUUUAUUAUUCAAGGGAAGACAUGGGACAUAAACUUCUGUAAAGUGAAGUGACAGUAUAAAUUUAUAAAUAAUGUUUCAUUUAAAAGUAAAAAGAUGUCACAAAGUAAUGCAUGACAUUUGCUAAAUAAAUAGCACCAACUACAGAAGAGUUGUUGUUUAGAAGAGAGAGAAAUCAUGAUGCAGAGAAGGGCUCUCCAAGGAAAGAGAUUAGAAGUAAUCUUGAGAGAUGGGCCGGACUUGAAUGAAUGAGGGAAAGGAGGGACUCCAAAUGUGGACCCAGGGAAACAAGACGUGGACUUGACACUGGGAAGAAAUUGCAGGGUCUACUGGUUUUGUUUUGUUUGCCUUUUGCUUUUUUUUUUUUUUUUUUUUUUUGAGGAAGACUAGCCCUGAGCUAACAUCUGCCACCAAUCCUCCUCUUUUUGCUGAGGAAGACUGGCCCUGAGCUAACAUCCAUGCCCGCCUUCCUCCACUUUAUAUGCGGGAUGCCUACCACAGCAUGGCUUGCCAAGCAGUGCCAUGUCCGCACAUGAAAUAAGAUCUGAACUGGCGAACCCGGGGUUGCCAAAGCGGAACAUGCACACUUAACCACUGAGCCACCGGGCCGGCCCCUCCACUGGUUUUGAAUAAGAGUCACUAACCUAUCUGUGAAGGUAAAGCUUUAGCCUUUGACCGGAGAAAAAACACUGACUCAGAAAAAAAUAAAUCCAGUGAAGCCAAGAAACCAGUCCAGUGUUCUUCUGGGAUGUGUAUCCAUCAUUUUAUGAGAUCAAAAUCCCCAUGGAUGGUUUCUGCUUCAUGCUACAGGCCCGAAUUCCCUAUAAACAGCAAUUACCUCUUAGCAAAAUCAUUAAUUAGGGCAUUGCCUUGAUUCUAUUGUGAAUAAUAAAAACACGUUUGCAGACUUCUGGACUUUGAUAAAAGCAUUGGGGUGUGUGAUUACUUGGGAAAACUAUUCUCCAGGGGAAUAUAAAUAUGUAAGCCUUACAUUUUUAUAAAGUUCAAACACAUGACCUCUUCGAUGGCUGAAACAAACUAAAAGGACUUCAGUUCAGACAAAUAAAUAGGAUAGACAUGUAAAUUAACAAAAAUUAAUGUUCUGACAUGUAUGUAGCACUUAGAUCUCACAAUGAAAAAUGUCUCGAUCAGCGGAAAGUCAGAGUGUUUUCUGCACAUAGCUAUCACCAGAGACACACAGUAGUCGCUCAGAAAAAAUCUUCUGAUUUUAAGGAAUUAAAGGAGAUUGGGGGGCAAAUAUAAGAAGACAAAUUCAUAUCGUGAGGCCGGGCUGUGACCAGUUUAUAUCCAGCUCCCGAAGAGCAGCUAGCUGUAUCCACCAGUGCCCAGGAGAGGGCAGGCAAGAGCUGCUCAGGCCACAGGCGAGAUCUGGUCUGCUGGCUUCAUGACGACAGCAAAGCCCCAGCCUCCUCCUCCCUUUUCGUCCCAGCACCCUCGUCAGCUGCCUCUCCUUCUCAUCUCCCAAGAUGACUGCUGCCUCUCUGGGCAUCUUACCCAUGUUCCAGACAAGAAGGACGAAAAGCAUGAGCCAGCUAAGCCUCGGUUCCUUCAUCCUCUCUCUUCUACUAGAUGUGGAAAAACUGAUCCUACUCCUUUUAACUCAGAGGUGAGGCGGCGCUGGACGAGCUGAGUUUCCGAGGCUGGCCUGCUGCUCCGUCCUGGAGGCGAGCGGCCAUUGCUUGUGCCCAGAAUUAUCCGCUUUCUUCAUCGCCUUUUUCCCAGAAGCCACUCCAACAAGCCUUCUCUAUUGAAAAUAACUGUUCCUUCGUUUAGACCAGGGGUUGGCAAACUUUCUCUUUAAAGUGCCAGCUAGUAAAUAUUUUAGCUUCUGAGGGCCAGUCUCUCUUGCAACUACUCAACUCUGCCUUUAGGGGGCGAAAGCAGCCACAGACCCCACAGGAACCAAUGAGCACGCCCUG
rnacentral:lncRNA from 1 species